rnacentral:rRNA from 1 species
GGACAAUCUGCCCUGAAGUGGAGGAUAAUCCCGGGAAACUGGGGGUAAUACUCCAUAGUUCGUGCUGACUGGAAUGUUAUGCGAACGAAAGAUCCGUCGCUUCAGGAUGAGUCUGCGGCCGAUUAGGUAGUUGUUGGGGUAACGGCCCAACAAGCCUGUCAUCGGUACGGGUUGUGGGAGCAAGAGCCCGGAGAUGGAUUCUGAGACACGAAUCCAGGCCCUACGGGGCGCAGCAGGCGCGAAAACUUUACCAUGCGGGCAACCGUGAUAAGGAAACCCCGAGUGCCAGCACAGGCUGGCUGUCCGCCAGUGUAAAUAACUGGUGAAGAAAGGGCCGGGCAAGACCGGUGCCAGCCGCCGCGGUAAUACCGGCGGCUCGAGUGGUGGCCACUAUUACUGGGCUUAAAGGGUCCGUAGCUUGAUAUGCAAGUCUCUUGAGAAAUCCGCCAGCUUAACUGGUGGGCGUUCAGGGGAAACUGCAUUUCUAGGGACCGGGAGAGGUGAGAGGUACUGCCGGGGUAGGAGUGAAAUCCUGUAAUCCCGGUGGGACCACCUAUGGCGAAGGCAUCUCACCAGAACGGGUCCGACAGUGAGGGACGAAAGCUGGGGGAGCAAACCGGAUUAGAUACCCGGGUAGUCCCAGCUGUAAACGAUGCGCGUUAGGUGUGUCAGUGACCACGUGUCACUGAGGUGCCGAAGGGAAACCGUGAAACGCGCCGCCUGGGGAGUACGGUCGCAAGGCUGAAACUUAA